UCAGGUCCUCGGAAAUCCUGUGAACAAAACUCCUGAUAAUUCUGCUGCAUGGUGACCUUAUCAAGGACUCAGCACAGUUAUGUCAGUUUUCCUCUGACAGACUUUCUCACAAGAUGGACUCAGACUGCUGCCCUGUUGAUCAGUCAGCCUCUGCACCCACAGCGUCCACACUGUCAGACUCAGUCCCUGCUAAUGCAGUCUCUGAGGUUGAGGUCAGCAGUCUGACAGUAUCAGCUCCUCCAGGUUGAGAGGCAGAGGAUGUGGAUACCUACAACCCGGUUGAGCCUGCUGCAGAGAGCGAGCAGAGUGCUGAUGAACAACCUUCAUAUAAAAACAUGCCUGGUCCUUGUGACCCUGAAGACUUGUUGGAUGGAGUCAUAUUUGGUGCCAAAUAUUUGGGCUCCACUCAGAUCAAAUCAGAGAAGAACCCAUGGACUAACGCUCGCAUGGCCCAGGCUCAGGAGGCCGUGGACCGAAUAAAGGCUCCAGAAGGAGAAUCUCAGCCAAUGACAGAAGUGGAUCUUUCAUGUCCACUCAGCGAAUCAAAAUGCUCACUGCUGACACACAGGUACUGUCAGCUCACCACUUAAAUUUAGUCUUUUCUGUUGCCUGUUGCUCACUUUUAUAAUUGCAUUAUC